rnacentral:tRNA from 1 species
ACCUGGGUGGCUCACUUGGUUAAGCACCUGACUUCAGCUCAGGUCAUGAUCUCACGGUUGGUGGGUUCGAGCCCCACAUCUGGCU